rnacentral:lncRNA from 1 species
GUCAGCAUGGCCACAUGUCUGUCUUGUCUCCAACACCAACUGGUCGAUCUGUACUCAAUGACAGCACUUUUUAAUUUAAUGCUCCCAUUGAGACAAUUUUUUGAGGCUCCAUGUAAAAGUUAUCACACAGCCGUAAUUAAUCCACAGCAGCCCUGGAAAUGUGUAUGAGGGUCAGGUUUACAGUUUCUGUUUGAGCUUCAAUUUCAUUAGGAAGACUAGGAGUCAGAGAAAGCAAACUGGUGCUUCUAAGCUACUACUUGAGCCAGGCACGAAGGAGACAGCAUCUAUAUCCUGCACCAUUACCACAACAAGUGAGGAGGAAGCAGUGAAGGAGAGACAGAGGUGGAGUCAUGCAGAUCUGCUCUCCCAGGGUUAUGACUCACACUUCAGUUUCUGGUUUACCACUCACUACCCAAGCUGGUCUAUAAUUGAACUGGAAGAUCAUGGAUUUGGCUAAGGUGACUGGCCAUUGAGAUUUAAAGCUUACUCUCCCCACAAAACAAAACAAACCCAAAAGGCAAAAGGCCCUGGUAUUGUGGGCAUAUGCCGGUGUGUCCAUCCGAGACCUGAUCUGGCGCCCUUGUGUCUGCACAUCAGCACCUUACUGACUGACCCAUCACCCAGCCCCUUCACACAGGCCUUCAAUUACUCACUAAGAAA